rnacentral:rRNA from 1 species
UCGGGAAUUUUGGGCAAUGGGGGAAACCCUGACCCAGCAACGCCGCGUGAAGGAUGAAGUAUUUCGGUAUGUAAACUUCGAAAGAAUAGGAAGAAUAAAUGACGGUACUAUUUAUAAGGUCCGGCUAACUACGUGCCAGCAGCCGCGGUAAUACGUAGGGACCAAGCGUUGUUCGGAUUUACUGGGCGUAAAGGGCGCGUAGGCGGCACGACAAGUCACUUGUGAAAUCUCUGGGCUUAACCCAGAACGGCCAAGUGAUACUGUCGCGCUAGAGUGCAGAAGGGGCAAUCGGAAUUCUUGGUGUAGCGGUGAAAUGCGUAGAUAUCAAGAGGAACACCUGAGGUGAAGACGGGUUGCUGGGCUGACACUGACGCUGAGGCGCGAAAGCCAGGGGAGCAAACGGGAUUAGAUACCCACGUAGUCCCUGAGCGGGCUGGCAAGGCGCAU